rnacentral:rRNA from 1 species
UAGGGAAUCUUCCACAAUGGGCGCAAGCCUGAUGGAGCAACACCGCGUGAGGGAAGAAGGGUUUCGGCUCGUAAAGCUCUGUUGUUGGAGAAGAACGUGCGUGAGAGUAACUGUUCACGCAGUGACGGUAUCCAACCAGACAGUCAUCGCCAACUACGCGCCAGCUACCGCGGUAAUACGUAGGUGGCAAGCGUUAUCCGGAUUUAUUGGGCGUAAAGCGAGCGCAGGCGGUCGCUUAGGUCUGAUGUGAAAGCCUUCGGCUUAACCGAAGAAGUGCAUCGGAAACCGGGCGACUUGAGUGCAGAAGAGGACAGUGGAACUCCAUGUGUAGCGGUGGAAUGCGUAGAUAUAUGGAAGAACACCAGUGGCGAAGGCGGCUGUCUGGUCUGCAACUGACGCUGAGGCUCGAAAGCAUGGGUAGCGAACAGG